UUAUUCCCAGGACCGAUAAUA
ensembl:piRNA 21ur-6575 ncRNA